rnacentral:rRNA from 1 species
UACGUAGGGACCAAGCGUUGUUCGGAUUUACUGGGCGUAAAGGGUUCGUAGGUGGCCACUUAAGUCAGACGUGAAAUCCCUCAGCUUAACUGGGGAACUGCGUCUGAUACUGAGUGGCUUGAGUGCAGGAGAGGGAUGCGGAAUUCCAGGCGUAGCGGUGAAAUGCGUAGAUAUCUGGAGGAACACCGGUGGCGAAGGCGGCAUCCUGGACUGUAACUGACACUGAGGAACGAAAGCCAGGGGAGCAAACGGG